rnacentral:rRNA from 1 species
UACAGAGGUCUCAAGCGUUGUUCGGAUUCAUUGGGCGUAAAGGGUGCGUAGGCGGCGCGGUAAGUCGGGUGUGAAAUCUUGGAGCUUAACUCCGAAACUGCAUUCGAUACUGCCGUGCUUGAGGACUGGAGAGGAGACUGGAAUUAUGGUGUAGCAGGUGAAAUGCGUAGAGAUCAUGAGGAAGACCAGUGGCGAAGGCGGGUCUCUGGACAGUUCCUGACAGCUGGAGGCAC